rnacentral:rRNA from 1 species
UACAGAGGUCUCAAGCGUUUGUUCGGAUUCAUUGGGCGUAAAGGGUGCGUAGGUGGCAGGGUAAGUCGGAUGUGAAAUCCCGGGGCUCAACCUCGGAACUGCAUUCGAUACUGCUUUGCUGGAGUACUGGAGAGGAGAUUGGAAUUUACGGUGUAGCAGUGAAAUGCGUAGAUAUCGUAAGGAAGACCAGUGGCGAAGGCGGAUCUCUGGACAGUUACUGACACUGAGGCACGAAGGCCAGGGGAGCAAACGGG